rnacentral:tRNA from 1 species
GGGCCAGUAAUUCAACCUGGUAGAAUGCCGCUUUCGCAUAGCGGAUGUUUUGGGUUCAAAUCCCAACUGGUCCA